CACUUGCAAACACUACCAACAUUGUUGAAAGCCAACAUGAAAGAGGGUGUUUCCGAGAAAACGCUUGAGCACCUAUUCAAUAGAAUUAUGAUAAUAUGAAGUUAUGAAAAAUAAUGAAAGUUACAGUUGAAACAGUCUGAUAAAUUAGAGAAAGACACAUCCAAGAUGUGAUAAAUUUCCUGUUUUCUAAUACACCAUGAAAUAUCAAAGGGGCACAUUCUUUCAAGUAGGUCACUUGGAAUCCUUACAAGUAUAUUAUAUUACAUGUAUUCACACAGAUAUAAUGCUAGUCUACCAUAAACAUGAAAAUAAUGUUUUUUGGUAUAUUUUUAACACUCUGAGUAUAAAAUUAAAUUACAUAAAAGUUUAUUUAAAACAAUACGAAAAUAGUUAAGAAAUACAUUUCACAAUAAAAUUUAUUUUUCAUAUGAUUUUAGAUACCAUAACUACUACCAAGGAAUAUAAAAGGUACAGAAAUUCUUUGAGUCAUUGUUCAAAGAUUGCUGCUUCAUGGUUCAUUGCAUAAGAAAGUCAUUGAUACAAAAAGUUUUACUGCUAUAUCUGGGAACAUUCUUACACAAUAAGCUUUCAUAUACUUAGGAAAUAUUUACAAUACAAUUAUUUAUUUUCUAUAUUUAUUUAUAAUAAGUUAUUUGCAUAACUUUAAGAAACACAAAAAAUUAUAGGAAAUCAAAAUUGAGGCCAAAGGUUUGAAAAAACUUGGCGUGCCCACAAGGGUAUAUACUGAAAUAGAUUAGCUAGGUAAAUUCAGUGAAUGUCACAAAAUAGGAUUAUUCUAAUUAUGCCACAUACCAUGUGAGAAUAAUUUUUUCUCUCUUUGAACAUUUUUCAUACAUUUGUUUUGGACAAUAUUAUUAAAAGAGGAAGUUGUAUUAAUGUUCUUAUCUAUUUUUAUAAUAUUAAUAAUAUCAAAUAUGUUUAGUAACAAAAUUGUAUUUUUAAUCUUAUAGAAAGAUAAUAAGACUUUAACACUUAGAAUAAAAUAAUCCAAUUGUUAUGAAUAAAAAAAAAAUCUCUUAGCUUAAGUAUUAUUAAAUGAGAUUAAGGGAGAGCUAAUUUAUUAAUAAUAAAAUAAGUAAAAAAUAA